CACCUGCCUGUGUCACAAGUGCAAGAGAGACUUGAUGGUCCAUUUGUCUCCAUGGACUCCAGCUGAGUAAAGCCUGGAGGUCCUUGGCAGCUGAGCUAAGGGCUGUACACACAUAACAAGGCAAGUGGUCUUCUCUGCAGUUCAAGAAGAGAGAAACAAGAGCUGGAAACCAAGAACAGUUGUAUAAAGCACAGCAUGUGCUUGCUGAAGGAGGAUGUACUUCUGUUCCACAGCCCAUCCUUUAGUAGAAGGACUGCAAGCCUACUGGUGCUGACAGCAGAUGGCUCAGAAUAUUCUCACAGGAAAGUGUGA
rnacentral:lncRNA from 14 species